UACGUAGGGUGCAAGCGUUGUCCGGAAUUAUUGGGCGUAAAGAGCUCGUAGGCGGUUUGUCGCGUCUGCUGUGAAAACCCGAGGCUCAACCUCGGGACCUGCAGUGGGUACGGGCAGACUAGAGUGCGGUAGGGGAGAUUGGAAUUCCUGGUGUAGCGGUGGAAUGCGCAGAUAUCAGGAGGAACACCAAUGGCGAAGGCAGAUCUCUGGGCCGUAACUGACGCUGAGGAGCGAAAGCAUGGGGAGCGAACAGGAUUAGAU
rnacentral:rRNA from 1 species